rnacentral:lncRNA from 1 species
CAGUACUUGUUCAAUGACUCUCAACAUGCAACUACCUCCGAUGAACAGCGUGUCAUGUCAAAGGUAAACUCACUCUACUGCCUUCUGCAGAAGGAUCCUUCUACAGCAGAAGACAUGACCAAAAAUGGCAAUAGUCUGGGAGAUGCAAAUGCCUUGUCAAGGGUGAACUCACUAUACUCCCUUCUGCAGAAUGCAGAAGACGCAAUGGCCAGAAAUGGCAAUGGUCUGAGAGAUGCAGAUGUGAUGUCAAGGGUGAACUCGCUGUACUGUCUUCUGCAGAAGGAUCCUUAUACAGCAGAAGACACAAACACAAUGACAAGAAAUGGCAAUGGUCUUGAUGCAGAUGAGGGUGGAAAAGUUGGUGUGAGUAACUCUAACAUCACUGAAUUGUCACAACCAUGCAAAACUAAAGUGUCUGAUUUGGAAGUUCAAGCGGAUGAUGCUUCUGGCUGCAAGCAGGGGGGGACUGGUAUGUCCAGGAAGGAAUCAGCUGGCGAUUUGCUUCUUAAUCUUCCAAGGGUGGCAUCUCUGCCUCAGUUUUUGUUUAACAUGUCCGAGGAUUCUGUUAAUAAAGUUAGAUAGAUAGUAACCAUCUUUCAAAACUUGCAAGAAACACAAAAGCUAUAUUAUCAACAAUGUGAAUAUUGUAUAUCUGCAGUUUUACUUGCGUGGGAUUCAGAAAUUUACAUUGAUGAUGAAUCCCGACAGACAGACAUGACGGGACACUUUA